rnacentral:rRNA from 1 species
UACGUAGGGUGCAAGCGUUAAUCGGAAUUACUGGGCGUAAAGCGUGCGCAGGCGGUUCGGAAAGAGAGGUGUGAAAUCCCAGGGCUUAACCUUGGAACUGCACUUCUAACUACCGGGCUAGAGUACGUCAGAGGGGGGUAGAAUUCCACGUGUAGCAGUGAAAUGCGUAGAGAUGUGGAGGAAUACCGAUGGCGAAGGCAGCCCCCUGGGAUGAUACUGACGCUCAUGCACGAAAGCGUGGGGAGCAAACGGG